rnacentral:misc_RNA from 1 species
CCGUAGGUGAACCUGCGGAGGGAUCAUUACAGAGUUCAUGCCCUACCGGGUAGAUCUCCCACCCUAUGUUAUUAUUACUUUGUUGCUUUGGCGGGCCGUUAGGCUCCGGCCCGACUACCGGCCCCGGCUGGUAAGCGCCCGCCAGAGGACCCAAAACCCUGAAUAUUAGUGUCGUCUGAGUACUAUAUAAUAGUUAAAACUUUCAACAACGGAUCUCUUGGUUCU